GCAAGAUCUAUCCUCAUCGAAGCUCCAUCAAAUCCAAUCCCUGCCAUUGCACUUCACGAGGACAAGCCAUGACAACGACGCUGGCUGGUGUGGGCAUCUCCACCCCUAGGGUUGUCUCUGUGAAGACCGACCGCCGCCGAGUGAGCUCCCGCCAGGUCGUGCUCGUCGCAAGCGCCCGCCCACCAUAUCGGAGAAGGUGGCGGGAAGCAUCAGGAACGCGGAGGAGACGUGCGUGGAGGACGCUACGAGCGGAGAGUGCGCCGCAGCGUGGGAUGAGGUUGAGGAGUUGAGCGCCGCGGUCAGCCACGCCCGGGACAAGCUCAUGGCCGAUGAUCCCCUCGAACGACUGCAAGGACGACAGCCCAGAGGCCGAGGAGUGCCGCACCUUCGAGGCCUAAGAAGACUUCCAGACGAAGCAGCAAUCAUCCAUAGUGUCGGAAAGAGUAAAUAAAGAUAUUUAUAGAACAUUGGAUUGGAUCGAUUUUUGGGUGAGGAUUUAGAUUCAUCUCAGACAUUGAUGUCCAAAAAGAUGCAACACACGACACACAGUAUCAGUAAGCAGCAACAGAGAUCGACCAGGAUUCAUGCUGGCUAAAAGAUGAGCAAUAAUUCCAUAAUAUUAGCACCAAAAAUGUCAUCUAAACAUCUGAUACAAUCAUAUAGGAAGGCAGUGUUGUGGUACGGUCAAAAAGAUUAAUCUAGAUUUGGUUCGACGAGCAGAAACGGCAAGCGAUGGAAAGGCUGAUGAGUUAGAACGGGAGCAUGUUGUCAGUCGCCACGAUCACUCGCUCAGAGUAGGGAAGCUGCCAUGGCCGGAGGAGAUGAGCAGGAAUCUCCGGUCUUCCCAUUGCCAUCCCACCAAUCUCCUCUGUGAUUCCAAGCACUGGGGCCAGCGACUGCAGCCUCUGCGUCAAUUCAUGCAGCUGAGCUCGCAGGAUGGCGUUCUCAACCUCCACCGUCGUGUAUUGCCGCCUUUGCAGACUGAUCUGCAUCUCGAUCUGGCCAUUUUGGGUCUUGA